ensembl:lncRNA
GCCUAGAUUAGCAUACGGGGCGGGGCUCGCUGCGCCCCGCCUUCUCUGCGGCUGCACCGCCCCGCGGGGGUUCGGUUCCGAGCGUCGCCUUCCUCUACGGUCUCCGUGUGGAGCCCGGCCGCGGGGUUCUAACGGUCCAGCCCGCAGGGACUCAGGACUGCGGUCUACCCCCGACCUCCUCACACCUUCCGGGGUGACCUGAGGGCGGAGCCUGAGUCCUGUGUCCCCGGUUGCACCGCCCCCAACCACCCCCGUCCCCUGUCGACCCCGUCUCCAGUCUCUUCCAAACCGGCCGGCCCCCGGCCUAGCAAUUCGAGAUUUCUCCCGUGGCUUCCGAGGAAAAGGAGGCCCCUACCCUGUAUCUGUGCCCUCCUUUGCAUCAGGGACCUAAACUGCUGUUUUGGAGAGGUUGUCUCUACCCCUCAGCUUGGUUGGUUUGAAACCCUGCACGACCUGUGAAGUCUUCCCCGGAUGGCUACAUCGUCUGGGGUCCCUUGUCCUGCCUGUACCCACAGCAAGCCCACGAAUCCAGGGCUUCCCUUGUUUCUGGAACAGCAGCCCUGAGGUUCUGUGGCUUCCCAGCUCUCAGCUGUCCCCCACCCCAGCGCCACCGCCCCUCAAAUGGGCCUUCACUUCUGCGCUGGGUCUCCUCACAGCCUCUCACCUGGCUGCCUGCCCAGUCUUCCCCACCCUAUCUCAGGAGAUCUUCCUAACUGGAGCCGCAAGAGAUGCCACUUCGAUCCCUCAGUCAGAAAGGUCCCCUGGAGGAGGGCACGGCAACCAACCUACACCAGUAUUCUUG